ensembl:lncRNA
AGUUUGGACAGGCGCAUUGGAGCUGCAUGAAAAAAAAAACAACAACACAGAAAGAAUCCAAAGCUGUCGACGGGACCGCAGUCACUCGCCUGUGAGUCACACUUCUGCUCAGAAAUAGUGCUGAAACACACGGCGUAAACCCGACUGGAAAAAAUACCACAUUAUAAAUGUGGAACUAUAAAUCCAACUGUAAAUACUCAGGGAAGGAGGUGUGGCCUCUGUGUCUCAGUGAAGGAGGUGUGGCCUCUGUGUCUCAGUCUCAAUGAAGGAGGUGUGGCCUCUGUGUCUCAGUCUCAAUGAAGGAGGUGUGGCCUCUGUGUCUCAGUGAAAGAGGUGUGGCCUCUGUGUGUCAG